rnacentral:rRNA from 1 species
GAUGAACGCUGGCGGCGUGCCUAAUACAUGCAAGUCGAGCGAAGCGGGGACGGGUGAGUAACAGGUGGUUACCCGUCGAUAAGUAUGGGUUAACGUCGGGGAACCGGAGCUAAAUACGAUACUUAUUCAUGGAUGCUAGUUGCAUUAGCUAGUUGGUAAGGUAACGGCUUACCAAGGCAACGAUGCAUAGCCGACCUGAGAGGAGGAUCAGCCACACUGGAACUGAGACACGGUCCAGACUCCUACGGGAGGCAGCAGUAGGGAAUCUUCCGCAAUGGGCGAAAGCCUGACGGAGCAACGCCGCGUGAGUGAUGAAGGUCUUCGGAUCGUAAAGCUCUUUUAUUAGGGAAGCGGUACCUGAACAGAAAGCAACGGCUAACUACGUGCCAGCAGCCGCGGUAAUUC